UUGUGAAUGACUGUCAGAUAUGUGAGUUUGGUUGUUGGUGCAUCAUGAGUACUUCACGAUGGCUUCUCUUUGUUUUAAUGAUUGGUUGUGUCCAUUAUUCACAUCAAAACGCUUCCUUCCAAAGAACAUGCUCAGCAGUGGGGGCAGUGGUACACGGCAUCACAAACCGGAUGAAGCAAUCGCUGACUAGAAAAGGAAACCCCAAUUCUUUUUUCACAGAUGUUUGCACCCGGAAGAAAUGUUUUCAACUGAAAACAAUACCAAUGAACAAUGAUUGGAUUCUUCAUGCUAUAUGGUGUUCAAAAGACACCUACAUGCUAAGUCAAGGAAACACGAAAACGCACAUAUCAUACUCAAUGUACUGCUGGAGAAGAGCUAAAAAUAAUAAUUCAGGGUCAAUUUAUAAUUAUAAAAUAGGAAUAUACGGAUUUGAUGAGACACUUUUGCUAGAAGUAAAUUCAAGUGCAGUUAAUUGCAACGAGGAUAAUGUUACUUACUAUAUUGGAGUAGCAGAUACAAACAAGAUAUUUGUAAUAGGGAAGCAAAAGUGUGCGGUAUAUCGAAUAGGUGACACUGAUAAUCCUACUACAGAAGAAGGUUGUCCCGUUGUCCUUAACCAUAGUUCGUGGGUACAGAUUUGGCCAAAACCCAUAACUGGAAACUACAGACCAUACAUUACAGAAUGAUGGACCUUUCGGCACAUAUUCAACCUACAAAUGUAUUAUUGUGUUACAUAUUAUCUAUUAAAUA